GUUUUGGUUCCAGGUUGUUAGGUACUCAGCCACUGCAGUUCACUGAGAUGCCUUUUCUAAAAGGGUCGGUUUCUUUUUCCUGUAUCAGCAGUUGUGUUUCCGGGGGUGGGGGGGAGCUGUUACAGGAUACACUGGAGAUGGGUCUGAUGAACUAAGACUAAGGGGGCACUAUGUAUGAUUAGCAUGUUCUUAAUACCAGAAUGCCAACAAAGACUCCUUGCCAACAAAGGUCCGUAAAGUUAAAGCCAGUAGUGAUGUAUGGAAGUGAGAGCUGGACCAUAAAGAAGGCUGAUCGCCGAAGAAUUGAUGCUUUUGAAUUAUGGUGCUGGAGGAGACUCUGGAGAGUCCCAUGGACUGCAAGAAGAUCAAACCUCUCCAUUCUGAAGGAAAUCAGCCCUGAGUGCUCACUGGAAGCACAGAUCCUGAAGCUGAGGCUCCAGUACUUUGGCCACCUCAUGAGAAGAGAAGAUUCCCUGGAAAAGACCCUGAUGUUGGGAAAGAUGGAAGGCACAAGGAGAAGGGGACGACAGAGGACGAGAUGGUUGGACAGUGUUCUCGAAGCUACCAGCAUGAGUUUGACCAAACUGCGGGAGACAGUGGAAGACAGGAGUGCCUGGCGUGCUCUGGUCCAGGGGGUCACGAAGAGUCAGACACAACUGAACAACUAAACAACAACAACAAAAAAUAUCAGAAUGAAGUUUAUCACAGGUGCACCAGCUGACCCCUCACAGGAAGGGACAUGUUUAACAUGUUUUGCUGAAAGAAAAAUGGCCUCUGCACAGCCACAUGCAUACCAGCUUCCCAACCUAUUCGUUCACAGCAUCAAAGAACCAGGCUUUGAGCAAAGUUUCAGCCUUGGGGCCUGUAAGAAUUGUAGAGUGUAAUUUACUCUGUUAGGGGUGGCAAAGAGGGAAAGUAUGACUCUCCAGAGAGGGAGUUUUACCCCCAGAGGUGUCUUGAAACAGAAUAAAUCAAAUAAGCUGUGACAUUUUUUAGAACUUGUUCUGCUGUGUGUGAGUUUUUUCAGCUGAGAAAAGUCUAGCAAAAGGGUGUAUGAAAUGCACAGGGGUAAGAAUUUGCCUUAUAUAAUCCACCAUUUUGAAAAAUCCCCUAGCUGCGUGCAUAAUAACAAAACACUUAAACAUAGGGUGAUUCUUAUGCGUUGUCACAGCCAGCUCUCCAGGCUGAGGCCCAUGAAGGAGAAUUCAAGCAAAUUGUCUCCACCCAUGCCCCCUAGCACCAUCAAGUGAUAAAGUGCUUGUUGGACUCUGUCCAUGAGUGUACAUUGGAUAGCAAGGCGCAGCGAAGCCACAUGUGUGUCACAUUCAUGCUUUAGUUUAUUUAAUACCAUUUUAUAUCUUCAUAAUAUCACAGUGAAGUUUAACGCAACAAAUACAUUAAGGCAGAAACAAGUGCAGGUUCAUGAAGCACUAAAAACUCAGCCAUAUGUGACCUUCGAUGAGUUGACACCUCUCAGCUGAAUGUGCCUCACUGGGAUGGAUGUCGUGAGGAUAAAAUGGGGAGGCCACUUAGAGCUCCUUAGAGAGAAGGUGCAAUAUAAAAUAUAUAAAUAAAUACAUAAAUAAAAAUGUACUUGUGAAAAGGCUUCUUUUCAUUUCUAUUGACUGAGUGCUGCCUUUUUGCUUCAUAAACAGAAAUGUUUAUGAAGUUACAUUUUACUAGAUUUACUCAAGAAGAAAAUUCUGCAGUAGCUAAACUUUAAAAAGGAAAAGCAACCCAAUUAUGCCCAGAGGGUGAUGUCUCUUUCUUUUGUCACAAGUUUAUUCCCCCCCCCCCAGACCCUCUUACCUAUUACAUACCCUGAGGAGAAUUCUGAGUUCCUCUAAAACUUUGCAGCUUCAUUUGCUUUAAUUCCCUCAGAUGAGCACACAUGAGAAGAUAAAUCUAUGUUGUGUUCUCAAAAUAGGUUUUAUGGGAAAGAAUAGGGUAAGCAAUAACAAGACAGUAACCCAUCAGCAAUCUAUGCUGAUCAAUGUAGCCCAAAGCCAACCCCUGCCCGCUGCAAAAAAAUAAAAUUAAAAAGCAUUGUGCUGGCUAAGGAAGGACCUUCCAACUUAUCUCAUGAUUUGGCCAGGCCAGCAAGUGACAACAGUUCAUUGCUCUUUGGGUCACUGCUGGGCUCAUUUCAUGGGACUUGUGCAUGAAAAUACCAAUGAUGUUUAAUUAACUUUGCCUCCUAUCUCAUUCUUUGCACACAGUUAAGCUACAGAGAGAAACUGGUCUUUCUCCUCUCUGUGAUCAUAUAAAAUCUUAAGCACGUCAUGUAAAUGAGCAAAGGUUCCUGUCCAGCUGGUUUGGGAAAUGGCAAGGAUCCAAGAAGGCCUGCAAGGAGUGAUAAAAGAAACUGAUUGCAGCCGUCAAAUGCAAUGCUGUUCAUCUUUCCUGCUGGCCCAUCAAACAGUAAGUAUCCUUUCUGAAAGAAAAGAUAAACACAGAAUGCUCAUAUUUUUCCUUUCCCUAAAUAGACUUCUGCAUGGGCUCACAGGCAGGCGCGCGCAC